GAUGAACGCUGGCGGCGUGCCUAACACAUGCAGGUCGAGCGAAGCACUUUGCUUAGAUUCUUCGGAUGAAGAGGAUUGUGACUGAGCGGCGGACGGGUGAGUAACGCGUGGGUAACCUGCCUCAUACAGGGGGAUAACAGUUAGAAAUGACUGCUAAUACCGCAUAAGACCACAGCACCGCAUGGUGCGGGGGUAAAAACUCCGGUGGUAUGAGAUGGACCCGCGUCUGAUUAGCUAGUUGGUAAGGUAACGGCUUACCAAGGCGACGAUCAGUAGCCGACCUGAGAGGGUGACCGGCCACAUUGGGACUGAGACACGGCCCAAACUCCUACGGGAGGCAGCAGUGGGGAAUAUUGCACAAUGGGGGAAACCCUGAUGCAGCGACGCCGCGUGAGCGAAGAAGUAUUUCGGUAUGUAAAGCUCUAUCAGCAGGGAAGAAAAUGACGGUAC
rnacentral:rRNA from 1 species